rnacentral:rRNA from 1 species
GAUGAACGCUGGCGGCGUGCCUAAUACAUGCAAGUCGAGCGAACAGAUGAGGAGCUUGCUCCUCUGACGUUAGCGGCGGACGGGUGAGUAACACGUGGAUAACCUACCUAUAAGACUGGGAUAACUUCGGGAAACCGGAGCUAAUACCGGAUAAUAUAUUGAACCGCAUGGUUCAAUAGUGAAAGACGGUUUUGCUGUCACUUAUAGAUGGAUCCGCGCCGCAUUAGCUAGUUGGUAAGGUAACGGCUUACCAAGGCAACGAUGCGUAGCCGACCUGAGAGGGUGAUCGGCCACACUGGAACUGAGACACGGUCCAGACCCCUACGGGAGGCAGCAGUAGGGAAUCUUCCGCAAUGGGCGAAAGCCUGACGGAGCAACGCCGCGUGAGUGAUGAAGGUCUUCGGAUCGUAAAACUCUGUUAUUGGGGAAGAACAAAUGUGUAAGUAACUAUGCACGUCUUGACGGUACCUAAUCAGAAAGCCACGGCUAACUACGUG